rnacentral:rRNA from 1 species
GAUUAUGGCUCAGGAUGAACGCUAGCGACAGGCUUAACACAUGCAAGUCGAGGGGCAGCAUAAAAGUAGCAAUACUUGGUGGCGACCGGCGCACGGGUGAGUAACGCGUAUGCAACCUACCUAUCAGAGGGGAAUAACCCGGCGAAAGUCGGACUAAUACCGCAUAAAACAGGGGCACCGCAUGGUGAUAUUUGUUAAAGAAAUUCGCUGAUAGAUGGGCAUGCGUUCCAUUAGGUAGUUGGUGAGGUAACGGCUCACCAAGCCGACGAUGGAUAGGGGAACUGAGAGGUUGGUCCCCCACACUGGUACUGAGACACGGACCAGACUCCUACGGGAGGCAGCAGUGAGGAAUAUUGGUCAAUGGGCGGGAGCCUGAACCAGCCAAGUCGCGUGAAGGAAGAAGGAUCUAUGGUUCGUAAACUUCUUUUGCAGGGGAAUAAAGUGCAGGACGUGUCCUGUUUUGUAUGUACCCUGAGAAUAAGGAUCGGCUAACUCCGUGCCAGCCGCGGC